CAGACCUCUAAUCGGAAAGACUACCC
rnacentral:rRNA from 1 species